rnacentral:rRNA from 1 species
CCAAUGGUGUGCUCAGUAGCGGCGAGUGAGCGGCAAAAGCUCAAAUUUGAAAUCUGGCGUCUUUGGCGUCCGAGUUGUAAUUUGAAGAAGGUAUCUUUGGGCCCGGCUCUUGUCUAUGUUCCUUGGAACAGGACGUCACAGAGGGUGAGAAUCCCGUGCGAUGAGAUGGCCCGGGUCUAUGUAAAGUUCCUUCGACGAGUCGAGUUGUUUGGGAAUGCAGCUCUAAGUGGGUGGUAAAUUCCAUCUAAAGCUAAAUAUUGGCGAGAGACCGAUAGCGAACAAGUACAGUGAUGGAAAGAUGAAAAGAACUUUGAAAAGAGAGUGAAAAAGUACGUGAAAUUGUUGAAAGGGAAGGGCUUGAGAUCAGACUUGGUAUUUUGCAAGUUACUCUUUCGGGGGUGGCCUCUGCGGUUUACCGGGCCAGCAUCGGUUUGGAGCGGUAGGAUAAUGGCGGGGGAAUGUGGCACGACUUUGGUUGUGUGUUAUAGCCUCUGACGAUACUGCCAGCCUAGACCGAGGACUGCGGUUUUUACCUAGGAUGUUGGCAUAAUGAUCUUAAGUCGCCCGUCUUGAAACCGGGACCAAGU